UUGACGCUGGCGGCAGGCCUAACACAUGCAAGUCGAGCGGUAACAGGAGAAAGCUUGCUUUCUUGCUGACGAGCGGCGGACGGGUGAGUAAUGUAUGGGGAUCUGCCCGAUAGAGGGGGAUAACUACUGGAAACGGUGGCUAAUACCGCAUAAUGUCUACGGACCAAAGCAGGGGCUCUUCGGACCUUGCACUAUCGGAUGAACCCAUAUGGGAUUAGCUAGUAGGUGGGGUAAAGGCUCACCUAGGCGACGAUCUCUAGCUGGUCUGANAGGAUGAUCAGCCACACUGGGACUGAGACACGNCCCAGACUCCUACGGNAGGCNGCUUGNGNAAUAUUNUNCAAUGG
rnacentral:rRNA from 1 species